rnacentral:rRNA from 1 species
GAUGAACGCUGGCGGCGUGCCUAAUACAUGCAAGUCGAGCGAACGGACGAGAAGCUUGCUUCUCUGAUGUUAGCGGCGGACGGGUGAGUAACACGUGGAUAACCUACCUAUAAGACUGGGAUAACUUCGGGAAACCGGAGCUAAUACCGGAUAAUAUUUUGAACCGCAUGGUUCAAAAGUGAAAGACGGUCUUGCUGUCACUUAUAGAUGGAUCCGCGCUGCAUUAGCUAGUUGGUAAGGUAACGGCUUACCAAGGCAACGAUGCAUAGCCGACCUGAGAGGGUGAUCGGCCACACUGGAACUGAGACACGGUCCAGACUCCUACGGGAGGCAGCAGUAGGGAAUCUUCCGCAAUGGGCGAAAGCCUGACGGAGCAACGCCGCGUGAGUGAUGAAGGUCUUCGGAUCGUAAAACUCUGUUAUUAGGGAAGAACAUAUGUGUAAGUAACUGUGCACAUCUUGACGGUACCUAAUCAGAAAGCCACGGCUAACUACGUGCCAGCAGCCGCGGUAAUACGUAGGUGGCAAGCGUUAUCCGGAAUUAUUGGGCGUAAAGCGCGCGUAGGCGGUUUUUUAAGUCUGAUGUGAAAGCCCACGGCUCAACCGUGGAGGGUCAUUGGAAACUGGAAAACUUGAGUGCAGAAGAGGAAAGUGGAAUUCCAUGUGUAGCGGUGAAAUGCGCAGAGAUAUGGAGGAACACCAGUGGCGAAGGCGACUUUCUGGUCUGUAACUGACGCUGAUGUGCGAAAGCGUGGGGAUCAAACAGGAUUAGAUACCCUGGUAGUCCACGCCGUAAACGAUGAGUGCUAAGUGUUAGGGGGUUUCCGCCCCUUAGUGCUGCAGCUAACGCAUUAAGCACUCCGCCUGGGGAGUACGACCGCAAGGUUGAAACUCAAAGGAAUUGACGGGGACCCGCACAAGCGGUGGAGCAUGUGGCUUAAUUCGAAGCAACGCGAAGAACCUUACCAAAUCUUGACAUCCUUCGACAACUCUAGAGAUAGAGCCUUCCCCUUCGGGGGACAAAGUGACAGGUGGUGCAUGGUUGUCGUCAGCUCGUGUCGUGAGAUGUUGGGUUAAGUCCCGCAACGAGCGCAACCCUUAAGCUUAGUUGCCAUCAUUAAGUUGGGCACUCUAAGUUGACUGCCGGUGACAAACCGGAGGAAGGUGGGGAUGACGUCAAAUCAUCAUGCCCCUUAUGAUUUGGGCUACACACGUGCUACAAUGGACAAUACAAAGGGCAGCGAAACCGCGAGGUCAAGCAAAUCCCAUAAAGUUGUUCUCAGUUCGGAUUGUAGUCUGCAACUCGACUACAUGAAGCUGGAAUCGCUAGUAAUCGUAGAUCAGCAUGCUACGGUGAAUACGUUCCCGGGUCU